rnacentral:rRNA from 1 species
UACCAGCACCCCGAGUGGUCGGGACGAUUAUUGGGCCUAAAGCAUCCGUAGCCGGUUUUACAAGUCCCCCGUUAAAUCCAACUGCUUAACAGAUGGGCCGCGGAGGAUACUAUAGACUAGGAGGCAGGAGAGGCAAGCGGUACUCAGUGGGUAGGGGUAAAAUCCGUUGAUCCAUGAAGACCACCAGUGGCGAAGGCGGCUUGCCAGGAAU